rnacentral:rRNA from 1 species
AACGAACGCUGGCGGCAGGCUUAACACAUGCAAGUCGAACGCCCCGCAAGGGGAGUGGCGCACUGGUGAGUAACGCGUGGAUAUCUGCCUUUUGGUUCGGAAUAACCCCGGUAAACUGGGGCUAAUACCGGAUGGUUCCUACGGGAUAAAGAUUUAUCGCCAAAAGAUGAGUCCGCGUACGAUUAGCUAGUUGGUGAGGUAAUUGCUCACCAAGGCGACGAUCGUUAGCUGGUCUGAGAGGACGAUCAGCCACACUGGGACUGAGACACGGCCCAGACUCCUACGGGAGGCAGCAGUGGGGAAUAUUGGCCAAUGGGGGCAACCCUGAUCCAGCCAUGCCGGGUGAGUGAUGAAGGCCUUCGGGUUGUAAAGCUCUUUUGGCGGGGACGAUGCUGACGGUACCCGAAGAAUAAGCACCGGCUAACUUCGUG